UACGUAGGGUCCGAGCGUUGUCCGGAAUUACUGGGCGUAAAGAGCUCGUAGGUGGUUUGUCACGUUGUUCGUGAAAACCCACAGCUCAACUGUGGGCGUGCGAGCGAUACGGGCAGACUAGAGUACUGCAGGGGGAGACUGGAAUUCCUGGUGUAGCGGUGAAAUGCGCAGAUAUCAGGAGGAACACCGAUGGCGAAGGUAGGUCUCUGGGCAUGAUCUGACGCUGAGGAGCGAAAGUGUGGGGAGCGAACAGG
rnacentral:rRNA from 1 species